rnacentral:rRNA from 1 species
UAGGGAAUCUUCCGCAAUGGACGAAAGUCUGACGGAGCAACGCCGCGUGAGUGAUGAAGGUUUUCGGAUCGUAAAGCUCUGUUGCCAGGGAAGAACGCUUGGGAGAGUAACUGCUCUCAAGGUGACGGUACCUGAGAAGAAAGCCCCGGCUAACUACGUGCCAGCAGCCGCGGUAAUACGUAGGGGGCAAGCGUUGUCCGGAAUUAUUGGGCGUAAAGCGCGCGCAGGCGGUCAUUUAAGUCUGGUGUUUAAUCCUGGGGCUCAACCCCGGGUCGCACUGGAAACUGGGUGGCUUGAGUACAGAAGAGGAGAGUGGAAUUCCACGUGUAGCGGUGAAAUGCGUAGAUAUGUGGAGGAACACCAGUGGCGAAGGCGACUCUCUGGGCUGUAACUGACGCUGAGGCGCGAAAGCGUGGGGAGCAAACA